rnacentral:rRNA from 1 species
GAUGAACGCUAGCGACAGGCCUAACACAUGCAAGUCGAGGGGCAGCACAAUGGUAGCAAUACUAUGGUGGCGACCGGCGCACGGGUGAGUAACACGUAUGCAACCUACCUGUAAGCGGGGAAUAACCCGGAGAAAUUCGGACUAACACCGCAUAACACUAUGAAUCUGCAUGGAUUCACAGUUAAAUAUUAAUAGCUUACAGAUGGGCAUGCGUAUGAUUAGAUAGUUGGUAGGGUAACGGCCUACCAAGUCAACGAUCAUUAGGGGUUCUGAGAGGAAGGUCCCCCACACUGGUACUGAGACACGGACCAGACUCCUACGGGAGGCAGCAGUGAGGAAUAUUGGUCAAUGGGCGAGAGCCUGAACCAGCCAAGUCGCGUGAAGGAAGAAGGUUCUAUGGAUUGUAAACUUCUUUUGUAAGGGAAUAAAAAGUGGUACGUGUACCAUAUUGUAUGUACUUUACGAAUAAGGAUCGGCUAACUCCGUG